AAAGAUAGAGAAGGCUUAUAGAAGAAUACUUAGAGUUAAAUAAUCUUAUUAAAAAAUUAGUAAAACAUGGAAAACUCAAGGAAAAAAUACUUUGAAUGAACAUGUAGGUGAAGAUAAAAAUAAGGUUGAAUAAUCUCAUUAAGAAUAUUGAAUUCAAAAAGUUUGAAAAGGUGAAAUAUAAACAGUUUUUGCUAGGAAGAUGAGACCUAAAGAACUAUUGAAUUUCCUUCCUUCGAGCAGGUUGUUGGGGUUUUACUGUGAUCCUUUCGAUCUUCACGCUACUCCUUCACCUCUCAGUCUCGGAUGAAUGCCAAAUGGGAGAAGUACCUGUAGAAGGCACUCCGACGCUCGGACGUGUGUACAAUAAUAAUGACGUACCUUAUUCCUUGGAAUGUAUGUAUUUAUAUUAUUUUAAUGAACUUACCUUGUUGGGUCCGAUUAGUGGAAUAGAUCACACUUAUGGUUGCAUUAUCUAAUUCUUAAUGGUAGUUUAGCUUCACUGACCUUGGUGUUGAACGUGUCGGUUGGCCUGACUGUCCGUGGGUGUCUUGGUCAACUCGAUCAGGAAGACCGAACCACGUCAACCUAUUAGUCGGUCAUAUCAGUACAAAAAGCUAAAACUAAAAACAUUUAGAAAAAUCACAUCCAUGAAUUAUUCUCUAUUUCCAAAUACAGAAGUAUAAUAGAUUUAACAUAUUUUUUUCGUUUCACAAGUAUUCAAUUUUCUCCUUUCCAAACUUUUGACGAAACAUACCAAACAUAAGUUUCUAAUUUGAUUACAAUUCUCCCAAUAUCUAUCUAAAUGUUGCAUAAUGGUUCCAAAACGUUGCAUCAUAAUUUGAGCAAUCUUGAUGGUUUAUUUGAAAGAAGAGUAAGGAAAAAUAAUAAUUUUCUUUAUUUUAUUGAGAAACAAUAUGAAAAAUCAGCAAAUUUGAAUUUGAUCUAGUUCUCUGGUACAGAAUGAUUAAAUAUUGGAAUUUUCCUUUUUAUCUUUUCUGUAAAAUGAAACAGGGAAUAAAGAAUGAAAAGAUGGAGAUAAAAAAAAAUGUGAAAUUGAUGAUAAGGUUGGAAAGGAAGAAACCCAAGUUGUGUCGACACAAUCAGCUGUGGCGUCUUACCUUAUAUAGAUACAUAUGGCUGCGAAUUGCAGAGCAGACCUGCAAAACAAUAAUGACAAAAACAUCUUACGCAUUACUCGAAUUAAGGUGGCUAUUGCAGUUGGCAGAGGACCAAAAUCGUGUCCUCUUUUCGAAGGAAGGAGUGACACAUGAUUCUAUGUGACUUCCAAAAACAGCAAAAGAAAGAAAAGAAGAAACCAACGUGCGUGUCUCGUGAAUUUCAACAGCGCACGUGAAAGGCACGUGCACUGCUCAUGGUUGGGAUAUAAUGAGCAAUGUUUGGUGAGGUUCAGCAGGUCCAUUAAAUAGCAUAAUAAUAGUAUUAUUGAAAAAAUGGAAGAUGCAAAUGCAAAUGCAAAUUCAAAUUCAAAUUCAAAUGCAAUGCACCAGAAAAAAGAUAGAAGGUCCACAUGGAUGGAGCCAAAUCCCAAACCAGGUGUGGAAGGGUCCAAGUGGACGUUGCUCAUUCCCCAUGAUAAUAAAAAAUACUUCAACCAUCAACCAUAUUCACCUUCC
rnacentral:lncRNA from 1 species